rnacentral:tRNA from 1 species
AGUAAGAUCAGCUAAAUAAAGCUUUUGGGCCCAUACCCCAAAAAUGUGGGUUAAAAUCCCUCUCUUACCA